rnacentral:rRNA from 1 species
GAUAAACGCUAGCGGCAGGCCUAACACAUGCAAGCCGAACGGUAACAGGGUAGCAAUACCGCUGACGAGUGGCGACCGGGUGAGUAAUGUAUCGGAACGUACCUUUCAGUGGGGGAUAACGCAGCGAAAGUUACGCUAAUACCGCAUAAGUCCUGAGGGAGAAAGCAGGGGAUCGCAAGACCUUGCGCGAAUGGAGUGGCCGAUGUCAGAUUAGCUAGUUGGUGGGGUAAAGGCUCACCAAGGCGACGAUCUGUAGCGGGUCUGAGAGGAUGAUCCGCCACACUGGGACUGAGACACGGCCCAGACUCCUACGGGAGGCAG